CCCGCACAAGCGGUGGAUGAUGUGGAUUAAUUCGAUGCAACGCGAAAACCUUACCUACCCUUGACAUGUCCGGAAUCCUGCAGAGAUGCGGGAGUGCCCGAAAGGGAAUCGGAACACAGGUGCUGCAUGGCUGUCGUCAGCUCGUGUCGUGAGAUGUUGGGUUAAGUCCCGCAACGAGCGCAACCCUUAUCAUUAGUUGCUACGCAAGGGCACUCUAAUGAGACUGCCGGUGACAAACCGGAGGAAGGUGGGGAUGACGUCAAGUCCUCAUGGCCCUUAUGGGUAGGGCUUCACACGUCAUACAAUGGUCGGUACAGAGGGUUGCCAAGCCGCGAGGCGGAGCCAAUCCCACAAAGCCGAUCGUAGUCCGGAUUGUUCUCUGCAACUCGAGAGCAUGAAGUCGGAAUCGCUAGUAAUCGCAGGUCAGCAUACUGCGGUGAAUACGUUCCCGGGUCUU
rnacentral:rRNA from 1 species